GAUUGCCANUGGGGGAACCCUGAGGCAGCAACGCCGCGUGGACGAUGACGGCCUUCGGGUUGUAAAGUCCUUUUCUGGGGGAAGAACAAGACGGUACCCCAGGAAUAAGUCCCGGCUAACUACGUGCCAGCAGCCGCGGUAAAACGUAGGGGGCGAGCGUUAUCCGGAUUUACUGGGCGUAAAGCGCCCGCAGGCGGCGGGUCAAGUUGGACGUGAAAGCUCCUGGCUUAACUGGGAGAGGUCGUACAAAACUGACCGGCUAGAGGCUGAGAGAGGAGAGCAGAAUUCCCGGUGUAGUGGUGGAAUGCGUAGAUAUCGGGAGGAAUACCAGUGGCGAAGGCGGCUCUCUGGCUCAGAACUGACGCUGAGGGGCGAAAGCGUGGGGAGCGAACGGGAUUAGAUACCCCGGUAGUCCACGCGGUAAACGAUGGAUACUAGGCGUAGAAGGUAAUCAACCCCUUCUGUGCCGCAGCCAACGCGAUAAGUAUCCCGCCUGGGGACUACGGCCGCAAGGUUAAAACUCAAAGAAAUUGACGGA
rnacentral:rRNA from 1 species